ACACACACUUCUCUGGUGGACAUAACUGUGUCCACCAUUUUGGCAGCUGGAUUAUCCAACAGUGAACAAUUCCAUCUUCAGCAGAAGACUGUGAGUCAUUUCAGAAUGUUGUUUACCCUUAUCUUGGGUAAGGAACAAAAAAGACAGUUCUCCUCCUUCUAAAAAUCCCUUUCAACUAGAUCAUAUCUCUAGGUGACCUCAAAAUAUGCUUCUUAAACUUCAGUCUCUGAAUUCUGCAUUUGCAAGCGUGUGGUGAUACAGUAGAUAGACUAGUAGCUCCCGUUCCAUCCCUUUCUAGAAGUGCAGCGGUUGGACAAGUGGAAACUACAUUCCCAUCCUUCUUUGAAGCUAGGACUCUGGGUGAGAUGUGGGUUCUGCCAGUAAGAUGAGCCUGUGAGAGAGCUUGAUUAGAAACCGGCUCACCUGAAGACAGUGAACCUCAGGUGAGAUCUGGUCUGGGGUAGUCACCAGAGGAGGAGAGAAGAGUGGCGUGCAGGGCUCCCACUUUGCCGGCACAGGUCCUGGUGGAGGCAGAUCACUUUUGUGCCAGUGACUGGGUGGCAGCUUUAUAGUAGGAAGCGUUCUCACCAGGCAGAGGCAAAACUGUCCUGCCGCACGGCGUCGGGGUGCCUGAAAGUUUCUUCCGCCCCAGCAUGGGAACUAUCUGCCUCUCAGCGCAGCCCGCUCUGCAGACACUCGCCGGAGCGCACCGUGCAGUGUGUCCCCAGGAACCUCGACCAGUGCCAUGCAAAGUGUGUGUUUCUAGGGAAACAAACCGUGCACUUUGCCAACUUUUCGACAGGUUUUGUAAUCCCCCCCAAAAAAGCUGCACAUCAUUGGCUUCGAGGAUGGAAAGCAGAGGAAGAGCCUCUGAAAGGCGCGCAAGAUCUCCGGGCGGCGCCUGCCAGGAUGAAUCGAGGCUAAGUCGGCAGAAGCCGCCGUGAAAGGAGCGAGUGUGGAAAGUAGGCCACCGCGCUUGGCAGAGCCGGGGACUGCAGGGGCCGCAUCCUAAUUGCAGCGGGCUGAGAGGGGGUGGACGGCGAGGAAGUACAGUGAGGGCAGAGAGUUCCGAACAGAACACGUUCUGAAGCAAAGCAAUGGAUAACAUAUUGAUGGAUUUUUCCAGAAGAAGGAAAGUUGUUUUUCUCUCUCUCUUCCUCCCUUUCUUUCUUCUUUUCCAAACGAGAGGCACAUCUAUCAGUUCACAUGCUGAAGAUCAAGGCCGUGGAGCAGGAGAGAUGGAAGCUAAAAGUGAGAGGGAGCCAUUGCUAAAACCAAGUCCAGGAGGGGGGCAGGCGGGGCACAGAGCAGAGGUGGCAGGCUCUCUCCGGACAGGAGGAAGGACAUCUCUAUGGCUUGCAACAGAGGCGGAGGUGCAGUGGACGAGAAGUCAGAGGGAGAAGCUGGGGCUCUGCCUGAUGGUGCUCUUUCCUCUCGAGUGUGCGGGGACGGGCUGUGCGCGGCCGUGAAGGACUGCAGACGCUGCUUUGGAGAACGGGACAGGGCCCUGGAUUAGCCAGGACUUCCCCACAGCAGGCCACAGAAAGCCCUGCUCAGACCAGCUGGCACGAAAAGCAAGUCACUGGUUUGUGCAGUAAGAUGAUCCUGUGAGAGAGCUUGAUUAGAAACCGGCUCACCUGAAGACAGUGAACCUCAGUUCUCAGGCGCCACUGUUCAGUCCCUGGCAGUGACAGGGACUCGUCCUUUUACGAUCAAGGGCAGCGAGAAAGGAGGGAGGUUCGGUCCUGGAGGUCAUACCUGAGUCUCGGCAUCGACCUGGAUCACGCCCGACUUGGGUCUGAAGCUCAUCCUUGAACCCAUCACCAUGGCCAGGGAUUUGAAUUACUCUGAUUGGCCAGCCCCCGGGACAUGCGAUCGCCUCUGAUCCAAUCGCUGCCGAGGGCUGAAGAGCCAGUUGGCGUCACCUGUUCAUCCCUAGUCUCUGUGCUGGAGCCACUAAACCCAAUUUCCCCAAGCGGAGGAAGGUGGGGAAAUGGAGGCAGAGCAGGCAAGGGCGGCAGGUGCGAGCCGAACCACAGGCUUGCUUCGGGACAGGCCGGGCUCUGACGUUCUGAAAGUGCAGAGGAAAGCCCGAGUGUGGGAGGGACUUGAGAUAGCUGUCCCCUCUGAAACAGCCCCGUGGGGACUGGGAAGGGACGGUUACCUAUGAACAAAAGACUGUGAGGAUGGAUUGCACGAAUGCAUAGUCAAGUCAGCACAGUUUUGAGACUUUAUAUACAUAUAGCGGCUCUUGGCAGCCGGCCCUGGAGUGUGGGGAGAGGAAGCAGAAACGUUGGUAGGAAUGGACCCACUGCAGACAGAGCCACAGCUGGCAUUGGGAGUGCUCUGUGUCAAUCACAGUGUUCUGGUUUGCGGGAAAGUCCUGACUAUCCUGAAGGCACUUGCUUGGGGAAACGCAGAGCAAGCGGCAAGUUGCAGCAAAAGGGCAGAGGUGAGAGGCCUCCAGCUAGCUUCUCCUGCAGGCAGAUUUGCUCUCCGGGAAAAUGCAACCAGCGUGCUUUGGCAUGAUCUCCAGGCAGGCGCAGACACAGCGCGCUGCCGCGAGGGGCUGUGAGUUGUGUGCCUUCGUAGAUUUGAUGUGUUCCUGUUAAUCACAUAUAACUAAGCCAGUACUUAAAAUAGAUGGGUCACCAGUGAAUUGGCAUGUGAUUUGCACAAAAUACACUUUCAGUUUUAAUUUUAUGUUGCUACCCUUGGGGUAUUCUUAAUAGGAGCAAUAAUCUUUCUUGGUUCCUGAUCCCCUCCUCACCCUCAUUCUCAAUGUUUCUCGUUCACUCUCUGCAGUAACCACAAUCUUCUCCACCACAAAUCUACAGUUGAGACAGAAGAAACAUUGGGCCUGGUGGGGAGAUGGGACAGUGAGGGCUGCGGUAAUCCCCCUGGGACAACUUUUGAGAAUAUGACCUUCAAGUAGAAAGAUGGAGAUAAUCGUGUAUCAUGGGAUACAAAACAAGAGAUUGGCUCACAUAUUUUAAGCAAAUAUGUGUAUGUUUCAUAAGUAAUAUAGGUUGCACCAUAUUUCUUUUUCGUUUUUUUGUUUUUGUUUUUGCAUUGAGAAAGGUUUAUUGUCAGGCGGCCAAAACAAGGAGACAGGAGUCAGACUGAAAUCUGUCCCCCAUAUUCCUGAUAACGGCCAUUUCUACAACACCUUCCUAACACACCUUUGUCUCCAAUCCUUCCUUGUAUCCAUUCCAUGUGGCUGUGAGAGUCACCUUUCUACAGGACAAUUCUGUCAAGGCUGCACCGUGAUCAAACACCCUUUCUGUCUAGAGAAUAAAGCUAGAAUCUUUAUAGUCUUCUGGAUCCUUCAAAAAUCUGUCCUCAAACUUGUCCUUCAUUAUUUUAAAUUUUUAUGUUUCGACAUUAAAUAUUUCAACACACCGAAAAGUCCAGAG